rnacentral:rRNA from 1 species
UAGUGGCGGACGGGUGAGUAACGCGUGGGUAACCUGCCUUAUACAGGGGGAUAACAGUCAGAAAUGGCUGCUAAUACCGCAUAAGCGCACAGAGCUGCAUGGCUCAGUGUGAAAAACUCCGGUGGUAUAAGAUGGACCCGCGUUGGAUUAGCUGGUUGGUGGGGUAACGGCCCACCAAGGCGACGAUCCAUAGCCGGCCUGAGAGGGUGAACGGCCACAUUGGGACUGAGACACGGCCCAGACUCCUACGGGAGGCAGCAGUGGGGAAUAUUGCACAAUGGGGGAAAUCCUGAUGCAGCGACGCCGCGUGAGUGAAGAAGUAUCUCGGUAUGUAAAGCUCUAUCAGCAGGGAAGAAAAUGACGGUACCUGACUAAGAAGCCCCGGCUAACUACGUGCCAGCAGCCGCGGUAAUACGUAGGGGGCAAGCGUUAUCCGGAAUUACUGGGUGUAAAGGGAGCGCAGGCGGGAAGACAAGUUGGAAGUGAAAACCAUGGGCUCAACCCAUGAAUUGCUUUCAAAACUGUUUUUCUUGAGUAGUGCAGAGGUAGAUGGAAUUCCCGGUGUAGCGGUGGAAUGCGUAGAUAUCGGGAGGAACACCGAUGGCGAAGGCAGCCUGCUGGGCCGCCACUGACGCUGAGGCGCGAAAGCUGGGGGAGCGAACAGGAUUAGAUACCCUGGUAGUCCAUGCCGUAAACGAUGAUUACUAGGUGUUGGAGGAUUGACCCCUUCAGUGCCGCAGUUAACACAAUAAGUAAUCCACCUGGGGAGUACGACCGCAAGGUUGAAACUCAAAGGAAUUGACGGGGGCCCGCACAAGCAGUGGAGUAUGUGGUUUAAUUCGAAGCAACGCGAAGAACCUUACCAGGUCUUGACAUCCGAUGCAUAGCGCAGAGAUGCGUGAAGUCCUUCGGGACAUCGAGACAGGUGGUGCAUGGUUGUCGUCAGCUCGUGUCGUGAGAUGUUGGGUUAAGUCCCGCAACGAGCGCAACCCUUAUUGCCAGUUACUACGUAAGAGGACUCUGGCGAGACUGCCGUUGACAAAACGGAGGAAGGUGGGGACGACGUCAAAUCAUCAUGCCCCUUAUAUCCUGGGCUACACACGUAAUACAAUGGCGGUCAACAGAGGGAUGCAAAGCCGCGAGGCAGAGCGAACCCCUAAAAGCCGUCCCAGUUCGGAUCGUGGGCUGCAACCCGCCCACGUGAAGUCGGAAUCGCUAGUAAUCGCGGAUCAGCAUGCCGCGGUGAAUACGUUCCCGGGCCUUGCACACACCGCCCGUCA